ensembl:snoRNA LOC120094924 small nucleolar RNA SNORA17
CCCGCCCCAAGAGACAUUGUAGCUGUGGCUGCUAUGUCACAUGUGUGCCAGUAGGUGGCAGAGGGGAGAGAGGCUAUGUCUAUGCUCAGUGCUCUGACCUAUGAACAUGUAACUAAAACUCCCUGAAAAA